rnacentral:rRNA from 1 species
AGUGAACGCUGGCGGUAGGCCUAACACAUGCGAGUCGAACGGCAGCACAGUAAGAGCUUGCUCUUACGGGUGGCGAGUGGCAGACGGGUGAGGAAUACAUCGGAAUCUACUUUUUCGUGGGGGAUAACGUAGGGAAACUUACGCUAAUACCGCAUACGACCUACGGGUGAAAGCAGGGGAUCUUCGGACCUUGCGCGAUUGAAUGAGCCGAUGUCGGAUUAGCUAGUUGGCGGGGUAAAGGCCCACCAAGGCGACGAUCCGUAGCUGGUCUGAGAGGAUGAUCAGCCACACUGGAACUGAGACACGGUCCAGACUCCUACGGGAGGCAGCAGUGGGGAAUAUUGGACAAUGGGCGCAAGCCUGAUCCAGCCAUACCGCGUGGGUGAAGAAGGCCUUCGGGUUGUAAAGCCCUUUUGUUGGGAAAGAAAAGCAGCAGGUUAAUACCCCGCUGUUCUGACGGUACCCAAAGAAUAAGCACCGGCUAACUUCGUG